CCUGACCUUUUAUGUUUUUUAGAUGAACAUAAGUCUGUACUUACACAAAAGUAGACGAAAAAAAGAAAGAGAAAGUAAAAUUGACUUUUUUUUUUUGACAUGCAGUUCUCUGAGUUUUAUUGUGUGCAAAUUUGUGUGACUAGGUGAAGAGCAGGGCUGUCAGCUGCUACUGCCGCCCUGCUGUCUGUUCUCAGUUGUUGUUCCUUGCACGGAUAAGAACGCCCUACAGAUGGAAUCAUGUGUCUCACCUUUUGAAACUGCUGCUGUCAGUAUAGUAUCUUAAGGGUCAGCAAGGGCAGGAGGGCUAAAUGGCUUGUUGUCUGUUCCCCAGUUGGAGGACAUUUGUGUUGUUUCUGGAUUUUGAUGAUUAGGUUUUGGUGUGAACAUUCAUUUUCAUGAUCAUGGUAUCUCCCCUGCCAGGUAAGUAUGAACAUUCGUUUUCAUUUCUCUUGUAUACAUACAUAGAAGCGGGAUUGCUGGGUUGUAUAAGUCUUUUUUUAACUUCCAGACUUUUCCAGAGCAGCUGAAGCAUUUUGCGUUCCCACCAGCACUUUGUAUAGGCCCGGCUGCUGUCAGGUCUGUUAAAGCAGUUCUAACAGGUAUGCAGUAGUAGCUUUUUGUGUUUUAAUUUGUGUUUCCCAUGUGAAUGAAGAUGUUUGUACCUUCUAAUGGGCUCAUUUGCUGCAUGGUGGCUGCUUGCUGUGGCACAUACACCAGCACACCCUCAGGACAGCCUUGCAGUGAGAACUGGGGACAACCCCAGUGCCCUUCAGCAGAAGAGUGGACUGAUAAGCUGUGGUCCACGCAAAGUGGAACAUGAGCCCAAGUGGGAAUGGAUGAGCUACUGCAGUACCCACAACACGGAUUAGCCUAACAUGGCAGACCAGAGACAGCGUUCACUUUCUACCUCUGGGGAGUCACUCUACCACGUCCUUGGACUGGACAAGAAUGCAACCUCAGAUGACAUUAAAAAAUCCUAUCGGAAACUUGCCUUGAAAUAUCAUCCCGACAAGAACCCUGAUAACCCAGAGGCUGCAGACAAGUUCAAGGAGAUCAACAACGCCCACGCCAUCCUGACGGACGCCACCAAAAGGAACAUCUACGACAAAUACGGCUCCCUGGGGCUCUACGUGGCCGAACAGUUUGGGGAGGAGAACGUGAACACCUACUUCGUGCUCUCCAGUUGGUGGGCCAAGGCCCUGUUUGUUUUCUGUGGCCUCCUCACCUGCUGCUACUGCUGCUGCUGCCUGUGCUGCUGCUUCAACUGCUGCUGUGGGAAGUGCAAGCCCAAAGCGCCCGAGGGUGAGGAGACAGAGUUCUAUGUGUCCCCCGAGGACCUGGAGGCACAGCUGCAGUCUGAUGAGAGGGGAGGGCACUGACACUGUGCCGCGAGUGUUUGUGGUGGCAGCUGGGACUGUUGAGGUGUGAACAUGGACCCUGGAGAGGCCACAGACACGCCAAUCGUCAUACAGCCUGUGUCUGCCACUGAGACCACCCAGCUCACAGCCGACUCCCACCCCAGCUACCACACUGACGGGUUCAACUGAGUGCAGGAGGAGCUGUGGCCAGAGGCGGGACCAGCGCCUGCCCCCAACCUUAGCAUCAUGAACUGUAGUCACAGAGACGGGGAGGCUGCCACCUGCCUGCCGCAGCCACGCUGGGCCCCUCCUGCCGCCUCCAUGCCCACCCAGCAUCGACCCUUGACCCACGAAGUGCGUAGCAUGCAGUAUUUAAAGCAGUGUAGCUACGGUCUUCUUCUGUUUUUCCUUCUUUACUAGCAUGUGUGGGGUUGUGUUCCAUGUCUGUUUUGUGGACGUGCUGCGGCUGGGCCGUGGUAGCUGGGUGAGGGAGCUGCCUUGGGCUUUCAGUCAGGUCCACCUAGUGAGGGUUGGCCAUAGCCGCCAGAUGCUGCCUGGCCAGGUGGGCAAGGGAAGAAGAGAACUGUCUUUUCCUGUCCUGUGAUCUCGGUGGUGGGAGGCACCGGAAUGGUGAUUCUGUGUUGGCCGCAGGGUCUGGUCUGUGCUCUGUGCUCCUAGCUCCAAGGCCACAGCAAAGUUCUGAUAUCACCUACUAGGGAAGGGGCUGGGCCACAUCCUCCCAGCACUACCAGCUUCCUUGUCUGCGCUCCACGGUGCUUGUGUUGGGCACAGCUCACAUGGCUCUCUUCACCUGUUGAUGGGGCCUCCAGCAGGGUUGUUCCUGGGGGUCAGUUUGUGGCAGGAGGUGUAGGAGCCCAUCUGAGCCUGAAGCCAUGCUCUCCACAGUGUGUCCUUCUUGGGUCUCCUUGUCUCGUGGCUACGAGGUUCCUGUCUUUGGAACUGUGUCCUUUACCAGUGUCCCUCCCCAUACAGCAAGCUGGACUAUUUGGGCCACAUCUCUCCUCUCCCCUUCCCUGGGUCCUCCACAUUCCUUUAGGCCACCUGUCUUUUCCGGGAUCCUUUCUGGACCUUUAGAACCACAAUGAUGGGACCAGCGCAAUUAGUCACAGUCCCAGGGGCUGUGAGUUCCAGUGUGGGUGGUGCAUGUGUGAGCACCCUGCCCUGGGAUGAGUGUCCCCCAGAGCCCCAUCCGAGUGUUGACCAGAGCUCCCUCAACCCCACUAGCCUUCAUCUGUCCCCCAUGAUAAGGCAAGACCGGAGAGCUGGGUCCCUAAAGGCAGGGCUGACUGGGCUUUGUGAACUGUUGGGAGUUGGUCCCACCUGUCUGUAUCCCAGAAUGGGUGGGGAGCUAAGGAAAUGUGGGUAUGACUUCCGCAUGCACACCCAGGGUUCAGAGCUUCCCCAGGCCCAGCAGCUGCCCUUGUCCUGGCUUGACCCCUGGAGCAGAAUCCAGGGCUGGUUUCUGCAGAACUUAACUUUGGCUGCUACCGAGUAUCUCUGAAUUUCCAGUAGCGAUGAAGAGGAAGAGGAAGAGGCAGUGGUGCCUGAGGUGGCUCUGGCUCGGCCACACCAAAAGGGGCUUCAAAAUCCCACUCCUCCCUACCCACCUGCUGACUCUACUGCAGCUCACCUCAGCCCUUGCUGCCCACCCAGAGCUCUGCAGAGAAAGAUGUGCUAAGGAACAUGCUGCUAGUGGAGGUGACCCUCCAGGCCCAGCAAACCUGUGUAAUGGCCCAGACCAUAGACCUGGCCUAGCCAUGAGCCGGCUGCCAGAACCAGGCCCUUGGGUAGUUUGUUGUCCCAUUUUGCUUUGCUUUUUACCAGUUACAAUGAUCAUGAAAAUUUUGGUGAGAGGGAAGAUAUGCAUCAUGAUGUUAAGUAGAAAUGAUUUGUUAAAAUCAGACCCAUCAUAAAAGGAUAAGAGAUUUAUUGUUUGACCCCUCCUGAAACAAGGGAGGAGGAGCGAUAAUAGGGAAUCUUCUUUGCUGAUCCCAAUACAACAAAGAAUUUAGCCUGAGAUGCUGCUACAGCCAGUCUUUGUGAUUUUUCUUGAGACAGCUUAGGAAGUAACUUGUUUUCUCCCUAGAAUAGCCAAGAGCCAGCUUCAAAGCUUGGACUGAGGUGGAGAACUGUCUGUCUGGGGGCUGGGUCCCAGCUCCAUCUGGCCCUCUGGGGGGUCUCAUGCAGCUCUUUCAUACCUGUCCUGGUGGGCCCCUUGCCAGGUGGCUUCUCAGGCCCAGGAUCCUAUUGGCUUUUCUUAGAAGUACGCAGCUCCUCCUGGGUGGUGGGGUCUGGCAGAAAGAGCAGCAGGUCAGCAAGGUUAUUGAACCCAGUCCCUUACAUAAUUUGUAAAAAACUAAAUAAAUCAUGAUGGCCAUGACAGCAGUUCUCAGAGUGAUGAUGAUGAUCAUGAUCACACAGCCCCAAAGCACCUGGGCAUCCCAGACAGCUGGGCCUAGGGUUCUUCACUCUGCUUGACCCUGAGGCAAAACCCCUUUUCUGUGACCCUGUUGGUUGUAAGGUCUUGUCUUGAUUCAAGGAAAAAGAUCUCCUCAAUUUCAUUCUUUUUCUUGAAUGGACUCUUGGUCUCCUUUGAAUAAGCAGAGCUGGUAUCCCUGCUCACUUGCUAACACAUUGGACACCGUGCCUGUUGGAGGUGACAGAAGCACAGGGGCACCUCAACCCCACUCUAGGAUGCAGCAUAUUGUGCCAGCGGGUGCUGUGUCAGUGCAUGUUGGAGACCCAUCAGUUCCCAGAGCAGGGGUGGCCCCUGAGAAGUCUGGCAGUGUUGAUCACUUCUUACUGUUGGGAAGCACGUGCGAGAGCCCGUAGGCCCCAACACAGCAGCUGCGGUGUAGAUUUCUGUGCCCUCUCAGUGUUGUGGACUUGUCUUGUCUUCCUUCUGGCUUUAUUUUUAGCUAUUACUGCUUGGGGUUUGUGAACCUCCCUGGUUCUCUGACAUGCAAUUAAUGCACCAAUACCCAGUGGGACUUUUUAGAAAAAAGAAACCCCAUUGUGCUACAGUUGGCAGGAGGCUCUGUCCCUGUUAGCUAUGGACUUGGUCCUAAGGCCCAGUCAGGAAAGGCCUGUAGCAUGAAAUAGUCAUGACUGUCCUCAGACCUUCUGCCUGUGUGUCACCAGCAGCAGUGCCCAUUGUCCCAUGGAGCCUGUGACAGUCUACUCCAAUGAGCCCUGUGCAGCUGCUGGUCUGGGGUGCUGCAGGCAGAGUGCAGGUGGAUCCUGCCCACCCUCUGGCUCUCAGUGCACCUACCAUGGGGUGGCUUUUUAGGCAGAUAAAAAGUGACUGAUCUCAUUCCUUCCGGUUUUCUGAGCUGUGUACCCAUGUGGCACAGGACUGGCCUGUGGUUAGUUUGCUUGUAAGUCAUCCUCCUGUGGAAUUGACAAAAACUACAUUUUUACUGUCCUUACAAGCAAGGUUCACGUUGUCACAUGCUGUGAAUGUGAGCUGUGGUGUGUGUCCGUGUGUGUGCAUAUGUGUAUAUGUAUGUAUCACGCAGCAGGAGUGUCAUGCUGUCCGGCAGUGAAGCAAAAAGUACAAUAAAAGUUGACUCUGAAAUGGCCUCUGUUUUCUCAGCAAGUUGGAGGGACAGGGUCUCCAUAUGGUUUCGAGGGGUGCACAGAGGGGAAACACCCAGGCUACGUGUACAGGGACUGCAUGUGCUUGAGUACAUCAGGCAUUGUCAGGGUAAGAGUGACUAUCACAAACACCUGCCCAUCCCUGUGGUCAUGCUCACUUACCUAACCCGCAGGAGUGAACCCAUGUGAAAUCUUAGGGAUAACGGAAAACCCUUCCCUCCCUUGAAACAUUAAAACCAGUUUUCCAGGCAGCAGAUACAGUCAGUAGCAAAGUUGCAUCUGAAGGGUAGCCUGGGAAUGGGCUCUGCCCAGCCACAUGGGAGUGGGCAGGGGCCACAGCACCAUCCUGCAGGGUGGAGACGGCCCAGGACAUUAUUGGAGGCACUUCUGGGUAGAUUUUGUUUUUUUGGAAAAUGGGGGUAAUGUUUCCAGCCAAGUGAGGAUAGGAAGUUUACUCUGAGACAUACAUGCCUUGUUUUUAAAAUUAAAAAGCAAAUGCAUGGAAGUCAUCUGUCCAUGCACUGGCUUUGUCCAGACCAUGUUGGGUGUAGGCUGCUGUCAGCACCUCCAGCCAACCCAGCAGAACAUGCACAGGUGAGGCCAGGCUGGCUUCACAGAGUGGCCACUGUCUCGCUUGUCGGAAUGUUGACUUAAAGAUAACUGUUGUAAAAUAAAUGUUUUCACUGCAAA